GUCUACGGCCACGCCACCCUGAACCAGCCGCGUGUCUGAUCUCGGAAGCUAAGCAGGGUCGGGCCUGGUUAGUACUUGGAUGGGAGACCACCUAGGAAGAGCAGGUGCCGUAGGCG
rnacentral:rRNA from 1 species